CAGUAGCCGCGGUAAUACGUAGGGGGCAAGCGUUAUCCGGAAUUACUGGGUGUAAAGGGAGCGUAGACGGUUAAACAAGUCUGAAGUGAAAUGCCGGGGCUCAACCCCGGAGCUGCUUUGGGAACUGUAGAACUGGAGUGUCGGAGGGGUAAGCGGAAUUCCCAGUGUAGCGGUGAAAUGCGUAGAUAUUGGGAGGAACACCGGCGGCGAAGGCGGCUUACUGGACGACAACCGACGUUGAGGCUCGAAGGCGUGGGUAGCAAACAGGAUUAGAUACCCCUGUAGUCCCUGUCUCUUAUAC
rnacentral:rRNA from 1 species